GUAAGACAGCGCCCUCGCAUGGCCGGGAGGUCCCGUCACAGGUCGUUUUAAUUUUGCUGCCUGGAUUAGUGCUUUGACUACGUGUUGAUGCGUGUUUGUUAUAUUAUGCCAUAGUUAUUUUCUUUACUUAAAAUAUGUAGAUCGUACGUAAUUUAUCAAGCAGCUGUUUAGUUGAAGAAAGUACUUUUUAUACAUUUAAUUGCAGGUUUCUGCCGUAUAUCUCUGUGUCCAAAGCGUUGGAUUCCUGGAUCUGUUUCCGGAUUUUUGUAUUUCGUUUUCUGGACUCUGGAUUCUGUACAUUCACCUGGAAGCGCGACGGGGCAGGACGAUGCGUGUUAGUGAUCGGGCCCUGGACACACUGUACUCCAUUAUUCUUCUGGUAGUUGUGCUCUUGUCAUGGGGAUAUGUUAUUUAUGGAACUAGAAUAGCUGCAAAAUGGCAGCUGGAGAAAAGCCUGCAGAUGCAAGUGUGAACUUUAAACGAGAGAAACAGCCUUUUCUCUUCAAACCUGGCUGCCGCCGGAAGCCUCCUCAAGUACCAGCAGCAUUGCGAUAUAUGUUCCUAUACAUUAUUUCAUGAUUAUAUUUUAAAUACGUUGUUUUGUUCUUAUUUCCAUUUGCCGGACUAUAGCAUUUUUAAAUUAUCAUAAUUUAUUUUUUUGAUAAUACAAAUACGUAAGAGCCGUGUUUUUGAUUACCUUUUUAACAAUAUAUUAGCAAUAAUUCUACAGAUAAAUAAAACUGAUUUUUGUGA